UCUCACUAACAUAUUUCAACAACUCAAGGGAAUGGUCUCAAUUUUGAGAGAUUAUCUCAAAUUUCAUGCUUCUUUCUACUUUAAUUUUCUUAAAAUCGAAAGUUUUGUGUGAAUUUCUCAUUUUGUUUGUAAGAUUUGUACUCAAUCCUCAUUUCCCCCUUUUUUCCUUCGAUUUUCCUCACUUUUUCCCUAUACAGUGGCAUAAGCAUCUCUAUCACUCACUCUGGCAUCGCAAUCGACAGGUAUCUUCAAUUACAGACCGCAAUACGAAGUUCAGACGGUGUUCUUACGUAUUGGAGACCAGAAGAUGAUGAUCCAUGUGGCUGGAAGGGCGUGAAGUGUGACCUGAAGUCCAAGAGAGUUGUAUCCUUGAUUCAUUAUUGAAUUGCAGACAUGCCAAGGUUCAAGAGUUUGCAGAAAAAGCAAAAUUCAGAUCAGGAGUCAUCAAAGCAAGCUCCAACAAUUCAGACCG